rnacentral:tRNA from 1 species
GGUGGCUCAGUGGGAGAGCACUUGCUUUGCAUGCAUGAGGACCUAAGUUCGAUUCCUCAGCACCA